GUACCUUUUGCAUCAGGGUGUUCUUAGAUAAUUAUUGAUAAUGUCAUUGUUCCCGAUAAAGAUAAAGUUAUCAUCUUUGGGUGUAUGUGUUGUUGCAAAACCACAUUUAACUAGUUGAUAAAGGCUAUAUACUAAAUUGCCAUCUUAGGUAUCUGGUUAGUCCAAAAAGAUGUUUAGCAUUGAACUUCAUUUGAAGGUAUUAAGAUGUGUUGGCUAAGCAGUACAUCGUUUUAAUGAGUUAUAAUAGAAAUUUUAGCAUAUAUGUACCUCUAAUAGUGUGGAUCUAUAGUGUUUUUUAACUAGAUGUUUGUAAUAAAAAAAUAUUUAUAUCUAGCUCAUUUGUGAAAUGGAUUUAUGAUCUAUUGGUCAAUAAUAAUGGGGUAAUAAGUAAAAAUUAAAGGCAGAGCUUAUAAGUGUGUGUUUGGUUAGUAUAAGAUAAGUUUUAUAUUUUAUUUUUAUUGCUUGUAUUGAAUUCGGCAAAUUAGUUUCUCGACUGUUUAACAAAAACAUUUCUUUUUGAAUUUAUAAAAAGUAUGCCCUGCUCGGUGCUCUGAGGGGUAAACAGCGGCCUUAGCGUGAGGGUCCAAAGGUAGCGUAAUAGAUUGCCCUUUUAUUGGGGGCUGGUAUGAAAGGGUUAACGUGGGAAUGGCUGUAAUAUAAGUAGAAAUUGAAGUUAACUUGGUAGUGAAAAGGCUUUCAUUUUUAAGAAGGACGACAAGACCCUAGAAGCUUUAUGUUUGUAUUAUAAUGCUUAUAGUAUAAAGAUUUUGUUGGGGCAACAGGGGGAAAAUAUCUCAUCUAUUUAUGUUAAAAUAUUAUUUUAGUUAAUGUUACUUACUAGUUGUAGCCGUGAAUUAGCGAGUAUGAUUAAGUUACUCUAGGGAUAACAGCGUAAUUUCUUUGGCGAGUUCUUAUCAAUAAAGAAGAUUGCGACCUCGAUGUUGGCUUAAGGUAUCCUUUAGGUGCAGGCGCUUAAAAAGGUUGGUCUGUUCGCCCAUUAAAACCUUACAUGAGCUGAGUUCAGACCGGCGUGAGCUAGGUCAGUUUCUAUCUUCUUAUUUUAAAUGUAAGUGAAUCGGUACGCAAGGAAAAUUUA
rnacentral:rRNA from 1 species